rnacentral:tRNA from 1 species
GUUGGUGUGUCAGAUAAAUGAGUAGUCUUGAUAGGGCUAUUAUGUGGUCAACCCACCACCAAUU